GACAUAGGUGGCGAACGUUAUCCGGAAUUAUUGGGCGUAAAGGAUGCGUAGAUGGUAGAAUAAGUUGCUGGUCGAUGCCAAACUCAAUUUGACGGAAGCUAGCAAUACUGUUCUGCUAGAGGGCAGGAGAGGUUGAUGGAAUUCUGUGUGGAGCGGUGAAAUGCGUUGAUAUCGGAAGGAACGCCGGUGGCGAAAGCGACACACUGGGUCUCAACUGACGCUGAGGCACGAAAGCCAGGGGAGCGAACGGG
rnacentral:rRNA from 1 species